rnacentral:lncRNA from 1 species
UCAAUGGGACAUGUUGGUUGUGCUGGUGGAGGGUAUGGCACCACUGGUGGUGGUGGUGGUGGGCAUGGUGUUUCACUUGGAGGGCUUGGUGGCGUCACAGUAGGGGGUGUUGGUUCUGGCACAGGAAUAACAGGAGGGUAAACAAUGGGUGGCUUUGGCACAUAAGGUGGUCUAACUGGGACGACUGGUGGUUUAGGAACGUAAGGAGGUGUAACCGGGACAACCGGUGGUUUAGGGAUGUAGGGUGGUGUAACUGGGACGACUGGUGGUUUAGGGAUGUAAGGAGGAAUAACCGGAACAACAGGUGGUUUAGGGAUAUAGGGUGGUGUGACAACAGGAGGCUUAGGAAUGUAAGGUGGUGUGACAACUGGUGGAUUGGGGACAUAUGGUGGUUUUGGGACAUAGGGGGGUGGUUUGACAACUGGAGGUAGUGGAACAUAAGGAGGAUGUGGGUGAAGUGGUGGCUUAGGGUGAGGUUUUGGGACAUAGGGGGGGUGUGGAUGCACUGGUGGCUUAGGGUAGUGAGGAGGUUUUGGAACAUAGGGUGGAUUCACAUGUGGAGGUUUGGGAGAUGAGUGGGGUGGAGGACAGGGUUUGGGUGGUUUGUGAACUGGUGGUGGCUUCACUAUGGGGUGGUGUUUGGGGGGCUUAGGAGAGGGGUAAGGGCAAUAAGGACAAGCAAGAACAUUGAGCAAGGUGGUGAAGUUGAAGAGAAGGAACAAGAGGAGAUUGGGUAGGGCAAACUUUCCCAUGACUGGAGAUUGUGUAGGGAAAGAGAAAGAGG